UCUUAAAUUUCUUUGUUUCUCUUUCAAUUCAAUCAUAGACAAUGUCAAACCGUGGUCCUCGAGUUGCUUAUAUACCGGUGGUAUCUUCUCUUGAGUAGCAGUUGCUAUAUCUUUUGCUUCUUCAGCUAUCUUUCGGGUUGAAGCAGAUUCCUGUAGUAAUUUUUCAAUAGACUCUGUGUUGGUAUUCACCUUCUGUCCCAAAUUAUUGAUGCUUGUAGUAUUCUGGUCAAUUUUAACUGAUGCUUCAGCUACUUGCUUAUUUGUUUCAGCUACUUGUUUAGCUAAAUUUUCCAAAGAUUCAUUAAUUUUUCCAAGUGCCUGUGCCAAAACGUCUUCGGACGAUAUAACUUUUGGUUUAACCUGUGGAGGUGCAGCCCCUGGUAUUCCAGAUGGUCCAGAAGGACCAGAUGUUGAAGCCCUUCGCUGCAACGCAGUAUCUGUCCGAUAGGGUCUGCCAGACCUAGUAGUUUUUUCCUGCGUCGACUCUAACUUUCCUCUUCCAUCUGCCAUAACACUCUCAUGAGAAUCCAAGGUCGAUCCCACAGCUGAAAUUUGUUUUGGAAUGGAAAAUUCCUCUAGCCCAGUUGUUAUUGUAGCAAUGUCAAGCCUCCUCUAGGGGGACACAGUAACAGCCAAAGCUUGCAACUUUAAAAGAAAAUAGUCCUUAUAAGUCCCCCAAUUCACAUAAAAACAACAGUUUCAGUUGCACUUAAUCAGUUACUUUAAAACCAGGAGAAGUUCAGAAACACUGUAUCUCUUUUGCAGAGUUAGCUGUCAAAAGUCCUCUGCUUACCGAUAGGCUUUCCACAGAGCGGCAUUCCUUAUCUCGGGGCAGUCCGUUCCCAGGUUUUAGGCGGUGGGUUUUAGCUUCCUUUCCCCCCUUUUUUUGCAGAUAAAUACAGUUCAAACCUUUCCCCCCUCCUCUCCUGCAACCCGGUUUCCUGAUGUUGAGAUUUAAAUCUUUUUUCAAACGUCUUUCAGAGUUUCCACUUACAGUCUCUUUGCUUUGAUCUAUUUACAAGAAAGGAAGGCAGACUUCCUGUUUAUACCUUCCCGCUUCGGUGCCGAAUUAACUUAUUUUUUCCCUUUAGAUCCAAUUUAAUCCUACUCACAGGUAGUUGCUUUCAAAGUCAAAUUGUCCCAGGAAAAAGUCAACGGCUAUGCGGCUUCACUCCGCGGAAGAAGCAGUCGACUCUCAGCACCGUGCCGCUCACCCCGUCUCGCUCCGGAGCCCUUAAAAGGGUCCCUUCGCAAUUUGGGGGGGCGCAAAAGGUGCCCGCCGAGUCCCCACGUUCACAGGCUUCACCCGCCUGUGAUUUUUAAAGGGCCCCCGCUUCGCCGCAGCGGUCAGACCCGAUCCCGCGGAGCUGGUCCCUCAGAGACUCAUAGGGAAUCCACCAUUAACGAUGGCGCCAACCCGGAAGUCCACCUGAGUGAACCUUUUCUGUCCGGACAGCCACUCACCCGUGGCUGUCUCAAUCGCUGGCAGAAUCCGUCAGUGGGCAUUUCUUAAACUUCUUCCAGCAAAGAAGCUCUUUGACGCCUAGUCUCCUCCUACUCUCUCUGCGCGAAAGCCUUCUGCGCAAGGAGGGCGUAGGCAGCAGAGGACCUCUACUCUCCCCGCUGGUCUCCGGCAAGGAGUCAUGGGACCGCCUCGCCGCUUCCCCCAUCUGCCCCCCUUCUCCACUGGUGCUACGCUGAUUCUCUUCCCCAGAAGAUGGGCUGCCUCUCCCAAUCCCGGGACGCUCUCUGGAAUCCCUCUGGAUUUUGCUCUCUCCCUCCGGCACUGAUGGCAGUUCCCUGACAGGUCUAUCCAUAUCUACUAAUCAUUAAGGCUAUGCGCUGGAUCCAGGAUCAGGCCUGCCAGUUGCUGAGCACCAAGAGCAGCAGAGGGCUGCUGCUGUCAGGUCCUGCUUGCAAGCUGCUUCUGAGGGAAAGGAGGCUGGACUAGAUAAGUCUUUGCUCUUCAAGUUUCCUGCAGAAGGUUUUUUUGUAAUUUAAUUUCUAAGAUCUGUUUGAAAGUGAGUCAAUGUGCUCUUCUAACAUUUGCUUCUUUAAAUCUGCUUAAUGCUAAAUCUGUUCUGAUUUAGAUUUCAACUGUGUUUUAAUGAGUGAAUUUUUACUAGUGUUGCCUUCUGUUCUUGAAAGAUUCCGUCAAGUUCACAUUCAUCACCAGUGCUUAUUCCUAGAUGCUCCAAAUUGGUAAUACGCUCAUUUCCUUGACCGUGUUUUGAAUAGCGUGUUGCCAGUUUGAGAGUUCAAUGUGUUUUUGUGGUUGUUGUUUUUUUAAAUGGCAAGAUUGAAUUUUCAGUUGCAAUCUGAAGUAUUAAUUCAUUGGUGGUGGUGGUGGGGGGGGGUUGUUAGAGGCAAGGCAGGGGAGAAAAAUAUUGUGAGUGUCAUUGUGGUCAAGGACCAGAGCCUCAGAUGAUCUUCUGGGGGGAACCUGAAACCAUCAGAUUGCAACUUUGGGGAUAGACCCAUUCCUGGGUUCCCAUCAGCCAAACUAGGGAUGGACAGAACAGCCUGCUUCUGGUUCAUGUCAAUUUCUCAUGUUCAUCUGUUUUUUUAAACUUCAGAGAUUAAAGCUUCGGAGCCAUCCACUGCUUGUCUUGGUGUACCACUGGCUCCCUGUGCCAGCAUUUGAGCAAGGAAAGUUGGCUGCAGCCCUUCACUUGAAGGCUGUGGGGUUAUAUGAAGUGGCCUUGUGGUGCUAACCCUUUUGUUUGGUCCACAUUUUAAGCAGACUGGCUUAAGUUUGCAUCUUCUAGAACAGCGGUAGGCAACCUAAGGCUGGAUGCAGCCCAAUCGCCUUCUCAAUCCGCCCUGCGGACGGUCCGCAAAUCAGCGUGUUUUUACUUGAGUAGAAUGUGUCCUUUUGUUUAAAAUGCAUCUCUGGCUUAUUUGUGGGGCAUAGGAAUUUGUUCAUUCCCCCCACCCCCCAAAAAAAAUAGUCCGGCCCACCACAUGGUCUGAGGGACGGUGGACUGGCCCACAGGUGAAAAAGGUUGCUGACCCCUGUUCUAGAAUCACACAUGGGUCAAAAUGUAAUUACUCUUCAGGCUUUGCACUUCUCUGAAUCUUACAAGAGUAAUUACGUUCUGACUUGUGUGAUUCCAGGACAAGGGAGGCAGUAGCUCUGAGGCAGCCUCUCUGCCCCAGAGGCAGGGGUCUGGUUUCCAGUUCAGCCAGAGUUGCUAGCCUUGCUUCCAUCAUGCUGGCAUUGUCAUAGCGAGGAAAAGCAAAACACAAGGGGCCAAAAUAUCUCUGCAAGUUCUCUCCCUCCCUCUCUACUCGGCAGCUGCUGUAGUGGUUUUCUCCUUAAAAAUCAUUUAGGAAUCAAUGCUUAUGCAAGGUCACAGCCCCUUCCUCUUCUGCAGGCAGUUUCCCUUCUGUAACUUAUGUGGGAUUGGGGUGGGGGGAUACCUUUGAGUUUAGCUGCAUCCUCUAGACCCUGGAACGAACACAUCCAAGCUCAGUGGGAGCCUCAGUAAAGGCUUCUCUCUCUCCCCACUCCAGAUCUACUCUCUCUUAGCAAAAGGUAGGCAAUCCAUCCUUCCCUUCCUCUUUGUGGACAUUUUUAUCCCCUUAUAAAUGCCUUUGGAUUUCUGGACUGGAUGCCUUUGUGAUUUGCAAAAGACACUUGGAAGCGUCCAUUUCACAAGGGAGCUUCCUCUGUUGGGAUUUCCCUCACUGGAAUCCCCCAACCAAGGUGGUUACUAACAACAAGAAACAUGGUAGCUGCAUUGCAGGGGGUGGACCAGAUGACCCUUGGGAGACCCUUCCUGCCCCUAAGGUUCUCUGAUUCAUCCUCUAGACCCUGGAAUGAACGCAUCCAAGCUGAUGAACGUUGCAUUAUUUUAUUGUUGUUAGCCGCCCUGAGCCCGGCUUUGGCUGGGGAGGGCGGGAUAUAAAUAAAAUUUAUUAUUAUUAUUAUUCUAUGCAGUGUAGCAAUAAAAGUUGCCAUUUAGUAAAAGGAGCAAGCCUAACCAUAGAACCUUUGCUAGCUGUGCCACUGUGGCAAAGGGGCUGCCCCAGGCCCCUCCCUGCCCCACCUUCUGCGACUGAGGACUGUGCAGCUGGUGCUCAGAUUUUAAUGCGAGUGUGUAGGUGUCAAUGGUCGGCCCUGCCCAGACCUUAUAGCUGAAGUCUCCUCAGAUGGGGAGCAGGUCUUCACAGUGCCAGUAACCCUGAGGGUGUUGGACCCAGACAUUCCUGCCUCAAGACCCGAGGUCCUGCCACCUGCUGCUGCGUGGGGCAGUGGGCUGAAUCACUCAUUCUUAGAUGUGCGUGAACAUGGGUCGUUGUGAGGACUAGGGCAGAAUGAGGGAGAGUGAUAUGCUCCUAAAUGCCUGGAAGCGCUUACAUCUGUGCUAACAGAGGCAGAGCUAGGGGAGCAUAGCUGGGCCCCUUGUAUUGGGUGCUGAGCUUUAGGGGCGCUGCAACUCUGCUUUGGAAUGCAGCAUGAGAAGCGUUGCACUGGGCGCCACUGGAAUCUGAGACACCCAGGUCCACCCCUGGGGUUAAUGCCCAUACGCUUUGGGGGUUAAUAUCUCAGGCAGCAAGAGUUUGAAAAUGCCACAGAAAAAUCUGUGUAAUCUCUCUCUGUUUCUCCCCACCCCCAAAUCUAGCUCUGCCAGAAUUUUCUCUCCUCUCUUUUUAAAGUGGAAAGCCAGAAGUUUGUACUUAAUAUGGGCCAUAAUCUUUCCAAGGCAAACAAAAACGGGAGUAUUUGAAAUGAAAGGUCUUUCAAUGUUCCAAACAGGCAUUCUAUCUGUUGGUGGGAGUUGGGUUCACUCAGAAUGGAGCUCACUUAAGAGGGUGGCCUUUAGGGUUGUUUCAGUGUUUAUUCACUGUGUGAGGCCUACGAUUCGUCGUGUGAGGGCUAAGGGAGCCAGUGAUGGCGUUGUGGAAGGAAAACUACAGUUCAAACGCCACUGAGAUCUUUCUUACCACUUCAAAUACAAAGCGUGUCAUGGUGGUUGUUCAGACAUGGUCCUGGCCUGAAGUAUUGUGCAUCAUUUUAUUGUUUUAUUUUGUUAUAUAUCAAAUUUGUCUACUGCCCUUCAUCCACAGAUCUCACAAUCACACACACACACAUACUUCAGUUGUGAUUUGGCUGCUACCCCGUCACAUGGUUAUUUUGGAUCUUAAUUAGGGCUGUGUGCAUGCAAGGGGCCUCUCAUUUUGUGACACAACAUCAGUUGCUUGCCUUGAAAGUCCCUACUCCCCACCCCACUUCAGUCAUUGGGAUAACCAGUUAGAUUACUGUAAUGCACUCUGUGCAGAGAAUGCUAGGAUUGUAGAGUUGGAAGGGACCACAGGGGUCAUCCAGUCCAACCCCCUGCAAUGCAGGGAUCUUUUGCCCAACGUUGGGCAGUCUGGACAUUUUAAAGCAGUUCAAAAUGCGGCAGUCAGGCAGCCCAAUACUGCAUCUGGCCAACUAAGCUAGCAUCAGUUAUUUAAUAAAAAUUAUAUACCCCAUGAGGGACGCGGGUGGCGCUGUGGGUUAAACCACAGAGCCUAGGACUUGCCGAUCAGAAGGUCGGCGGUUCGAAUCCCCGCGACGGGGUGAGCUCCCGUUGCUCGGUCCCUGCUCCUGCCAACCUAGCAGUUUGAAAGCACGUCAAAGUGCAAGUAGAUAAAUAGGUACCGCUCUGGCGGGAAGGUAAAUGGCGUUUCCGUGCGCUGCUCUGGUUCGCCAGAAGCAGCUUAGUCCUGCUGGCCACAUGUCCCGGAAGCUGUACGCCGGCUCCCUCGGCCAGUAAAGCGAGAUGAGCGCCGCAACCCCAGAGUCGGUCAUGACUGGACCUAACGGUCAGGGGUCCCUUUACCUAUAUACCCCAUGAUCAUUAGAAAACCUCAAAAUGGUUUACAAAGAGAAUAAAGCAAUUGUCAGUCAAAGCAACUCUUUAAAAAACAUUCAAAAGAUAAAAUAAACAAUUAACUUAAAAUAUAUACCAACAGUCUUUGUAUCUUGGUAGGCUCACCUAAACUAGAAUGUUUGUAGCAGGCACUGGAAGGAAUACAGUGAAGGCGCCUGCCUAAUGUCUGAAUGUGCUGCAGUCUGAAUUCUGUGGAAUUCACCUUUUAAUGCUGGCAUUUCACACUUGAGCUGCAUGCUUAUUUUUAUGGUUGUAAGUUGUUUUAAAAUGCUGUUAAUAUUGUUUUUGCAGAUUGACAGAAGAGCAUGUUUGGUAUCAACCGGCCCUUGAGUUGCACACUCUGGUGGGAACGAUGCAGCUCUCUUGUCCCCCCCGCUAGGAUGUCCCCAGGAAGGAUGAGGCAGGAUCACACCCUGUUGCUCUUUUUGGAACCCCAUUUCCAAGAGGUGUUGCAACAGCAGCAGCUGUGCCUAGUGCCACGCCAAGCAUCUAUAACCUGCAUAAGGGAUAAAGGGAGGGGGAGAAUUAAAAUGUAGCUUUUGGAUCACCAGCUUGAAUGCAAAUAAUUUGUGCUGAAUUUUAAAACACACAUGUGCAAAUGGAACGGUAUAUAUCCCACCGCUCUUAGGAAAUCCAUCCCAUUGAACUCUGCAAGAUGUAAUAUGUAAGUUAAAUACAUAGCCCUGUGCUCUGACAGCAGCAUUCUUGGCAUAGUAAUGCACUAGCUGAUAAGUGGCCCUCCAAAGUUUUCCAUUUGGCCCUCUGGAUUCUCCCCAGGCCAUCCCCAUCCCUGGUCCUGUACUGUACCAUCCUUGACUAUUUGUGUGUGGCAAAAAUGUGUCCUUGAACUCUGAUAAUUAGUGAAGGCUCUUAAGGCUUGAGUUUCAGGAAUUGCCUUCCAGGCCCCCGCCCCCACUUUUCUCGAUGCGAUUCAACCGCUUUGCUGGCUCUGCUGAUCCAGCCACAGGAAGUUCGCGGUGCUCCUGUGUGACACAUGAAAUCUCUGCUGCUUUUUCCUCCCCAGAGGGGAAAGGGCAUUUUUCUCAGAUGGAGGGUGGAGAAGGGAUGCAGGAAGAGUGCACCCAGAGUGCAAAUGCAGUCAGCAGGGGGACAUGGCCUUGGAAGGCAGGGAGGGGCGGGGGAGAGAAUCUGACGGCUUUGCUGGGCCCUCCAGCCUGUUUUUGCAAGAGCAGGGGAAAAAGAAGCCUGCUUGUUCAGCACAAAAUGCGACCCACAUGCUCAGAGACUCAGUUAUCCAUUGUUCUGGGCCAGGUGUGUUUGCCUAGAUAGGAUCAGUGGUACGGAGCAGGAGGGAAGGUUGUGUCCACCACCAGAGGCCAUGGGCACCAACUCCCAGGGGCCAAGGUCCUGCCCCCCUCCCAAGUUGAAGAGCAUGACCAUUUAAAUGGUGUGUGUGCGCACCAUGUCUUGGGAUCGAUUACGCAGGAUGGGGCUUACUUAUAUUACCAUCAUUUUAUUUGUUGGCACUCCUGCCAAGGAUGGAUCUGCUAUAAAACUAAAGAAGCUUAAGCUCCAGGGCUCCUAAUCCCAGAAGGACCCCAAAAGUGACUUUAGUUCACAUUGCUUUUAAAAAAAAAUCGGUCUAGUAGGCCCAAUAUGAGUUGCGUGACUCAGAUGGAUUGAUUUUUCAACAACCUCAAAGUUUGAAAGUCAGCAGCAGAGAUGUUCCAAAGAGAAACGACCCCACUGAAGAAGAAAACCAUGGUUACCCAGACCAUGGGUUGUGAAGGGGCUCCCAUGGCAGCUCAGGCUUCAGGGCCCCAAAAUGAAGGUCCACCACUGCCUAGCCCUGAGCGCUUGCACUCUGCAACACUCAGUAAAGCAGUCUUGGCCAACCUGUCGCCCUCUGGUCCCAUCAGCCCCACCAGCUGUAGUCUAAAGCAUGUGGCGGAUGCCCCAGUGGGCCAAGACUGCUGCGGGAGAAACAAAAGAGCAGCCUUGCGGACUGCUUGCUUCCACAGUCAGUGGGCUCAGUGUUCUGCAUGGUUAUGUUACUUGGAAACAGACGGUGCUGGAGACGGGCAGCUUGCGUGUGCAGCUGCUGAGACUGUUGGGUAGGGAGGGAGGCAGGGAGACUGACAGUAGGUGGCACCAGAGCAAUGCCAGGCAGAGGCAACCAAGCUCACAUCCAAACCUUACGUUUUCAAGCAGCAUUGUCCCUAUUUAACCAUCAUGGCUUCCCCCCAAACAUCCUGGGAACUGUAUUUUGAAUUAUUUCUAUGACCUUGCUAAUGAAAGAGACAGUCAUCUGCUCCUGCAGGGCUCUGCUUAUCUUGUGCUGUGUUUUACUUUGGCUGAUCUCUUUCGCUCGCUCUCUGCCCCCACCUCCAAACAAAGGGUGCCUGGCAAGCAGCAGAAAAUAUUUUGAGCUGGAGGCAGCCCACAAAGUUCCUUUUUCUUUGUUUGCUGAUGGACUGGAAGAGUUUCCAGAGGAAGCUUUGUUUACUCCAUGUGUGUAUAUAUCUGGGCUGAGUCCUGUACAUUCCACACAUUCCAAGAGUGCUUUUUUUAGGGGGAGGGAGAAAUGUUGCAAAUGCAAAGGCGAGGUUUGUGCUGUGUGCCCGAUGAUCCAAAGGAUUUCACAACAAUGUGGCAAAUGCAUAUUUCCAGAUGUCUGGUAUUGAGAGAGCUGGUCCCAGCAGGGAGAGACAGUGCCCUCUGAUGGCAACACUUGGUUUUGCAGCUGCGUGAAACUGAGAUGGAAGACGCAUUUUUUUCCUUUUCCUUUUUGCAGUACUGGUGAGAGCAAGUAAUUGCAAUCCAUCAGACGUCAGAGCUUCUCUGUUCUCCCGGAUGCAAACCAAUCCACAGCUUUUGCCUUUCCUUCCUUCUUAGAUGGCAACUCUAUUCAAAGACCACCUGGAGCUUUCAGAGCCAAUCAAGAUGCUGGGAAGACAUUUUGCUUCAACAGUCCAAAAGUGGCACAUUGAGCAAAAGUGUCUUUGUGAGAGCUGACAUCUUGCCAGCAAUGGAAACUCAGCUGUGAAAAUACUUCCUGUGAAUGAGGAGUCAGUGCCCCCCCCCAUCAUUUGCACAUAAUCAAAGGGAUGUUCUCCCUGCAUGCAAAGACAGGAUCUGGUAGAUUGGCCGAACGUGACCAAGAGUGGGUCAAACAGUAAAGAAGGCAGUUUGUGCAAAUGCUGUAGAGGAAAGUGAGGAGCAGUUGAGGCUCAUCAACUUGGGAAGGGAGCCCAUCGAGGAGAAGAAAAGGCUUGGGAGCAAGCCCUCCACAAAAAGUGGUCCCUAAAGCAAUUGGAGGGCACCUUGUCUGCCUCCUUCCUGCAACUCCUGCAGCCCAGCUGGUGCUUCCUUUUGGACUCCAUCAGUGAGGCUGAGAGGGGAGUCUUGUCGUCUGGGCAGCCCAGGACCUCCAGACACACUGCCCAGGCUUGAGCCCUGGGGAGGUUACUUGGGUGCUGCUAACACAGAGGUUUGACUUCACCCCCAGCGACACACUCUUGGGACAGACAGAUGCCAACAACAAUAUUCAGCUGUCUUGACAUUUAUAACUUGGCAUUUAUUAUGUCAGCACCCUCCUGACCAGUUGUUAAGGGGUGAGUCAGGACUAAGGAUGGGUGAAUAUCUCAGUUUUGGUUUCUCUCCAUAUCUCAUUUCCCAACAGUCUUGAGUUCAGAUCUCCACAUUUCCAGAUCAGUUUGCAAUUUCUUUCUUUCUUCCUCAUGAAGAUUCAUCAGCAUUUCUAUGUGAAACUUCCCUAAUAUACACAUUUUUGUAAGAUUUAUUCUGGAGUACUAUUUUAGGGGGGGGGCAGGUUUGCCCAGCAGGGUGUGGCCCAGAAAGUCAUGGGGGAGGUGGAACCGUCUCUCUCACAGAAUAGUGAUAAUCUCAUGGGCUCUUGCAAUAAGAAGGUGGGGCUGAGGCAUUUAAAAGGCCUCCCCCAGGGAUUGGGGGGCAUUUUGCUGUUGAGCUCCCCCCCCCCGUUUACCGUUGAACGGGCCAGAAAUAAUUUUUUUCUCUCAACCUCAAUUGGUCCUCAGUUGGAGGUUUUUUGACCUCCCUCAGUGAAAUACGUGUUGUUAUUAUUCUUGGUGGAAAUGGCACUGGGCAGUAACACCAUAGUAUAGGCGGCUUCCCUAAGGGGCCUUAGGGGAGGAUUGGAUAAGAGACACCCUAAGCUCAGGGUGAAGUCUUGGCCUGGAUGGAAUCUUUCAUCCUGGUAACCCAGUGAGAUCCUAGAUGCUUGCUUUUCACUGCAUCUGGGUUCAACACUGGGCAACUGCCAUGGAGGGGCUUUGGGGUGCUUCCUGUUAGGAGAGCUUCAGCUUGGGUGAGUUAUAUUGAAACAAUCACUUAGAGUUUCUGGAAUUCAAAGGCUUUAUUCAUGCAGGAGCAGAUUUAUCUUGGCAGGAACUAUUUACAGGAUGAGUAGAAAGAAAAGAAAGAAAAUAGCACACCUAUUGUCUUAACACUUUGGGAGAGAGAAAAACAAAAAUGGCUCAGCUUUUAGGGGUGGAGUUAUCUUUGACGAAGAAACUACAAAAAAUGCUAGCUAAAUUGCUAGAAAAAGAGUGCCUUCACAUGGUUUAAAGUAGCAUGUGCAUUAGCUAGAAGUUUAGGAGAAAGGACAUGUAUUUGCUUUUCAACAUUCUCCAACCCUGAUGGCAUGCCAUUUCACUCGCAAUGGCUGAGUGGAGUGAGAAACUGAUCCUUGCCCUAUUGCCAUGCAAACUCUGCUUCUUGCUGCAGUCAAUAAAAUUUUGGCCUGAUUUCACCCGUGUCCUCUUUCAGUUAAUUCACUGUUUCCCAGGAGCACAGUGUACAUCUCUGCCUGGACCACUGAUUUUUCUGAAGACACCCAUUUUUGCAAAGCAAUUUCCCAUAAUAUAAUAUGUUAUUUUCACUAAUACAUGCAUUUACACACACACUUUACCCCAGUAUAUGUCCCUUUGAGGUUGCUCAGAAGGGAAUGUGUCCCUGGGCAUGACAAAGGUCCCCACUCCUUGCUGUAGUUGCAAGACUCUUGUGUUGAGCUGGGAGUUGGACUGGAUAACCACCUCAAAGGCCCCUUCCGGUUCUACAAUGAAAUAAGAAAAGGUUAAAGUGAGGGCCAUCUUGCAUGCUGGCUUCAGAGGUGGGUUGCAGAUCUGAAAUGAAUGAAGAAGCUCUUUAAGAUCCUCAGAUCUUUGCUGUCUUUUACAAAUCCAGAAACAAUAUGUAAUUAAUGACCUUUUUUAAAAACACUGUUUUGACAUUUACAUUCAUUUCAAUAUAAAGGAAAUCAUGUAUGUUAUGUAGUUAUUUAAAUUAUGUAGCUUAUCUUAAAUAGUGGACAGCAUGAAUAAUGUAGAAUUUGACAAAACCUGAACUGCAGUAGAAUGGAAAUGACGCUGAUUGUGAUGCAUUGAGGCCCAGGAGGGAAUCUCUGCCUUCUUCUGUCCUUGGUUGUAUGACACACACAACCUCUGUUUUCCCAUUCUUCAUUGUGACUCCCUGCCUUCCCAAAACUGCUGCCUGAGGCAGCCACCUCACUCGGCCUAACAGUAGGGCCCAUGCUGUGGUUGCCUAAUUUUCCAUCUACAGUUGCUGCAAUGAUAAAAAGAUAUUUGAAAGCAAUCUUUGUACUGAAAAUUUCAGUAAGGAUUAUGACUAGCAUUAAAUUGAGGAAAUAUCAUUCCUCUGCAAGCUGUAAUAGCAUUGCAGUUGGGGGUUGAGGGGAAGGCUAUGCUCACCAGAAUUCUCUCCCCCACCAUUUGAGUUUCCUUGAAAUUGUUUCCUCCCAAGCCCUCAGCCUGUUCUUUCAGCUCUUCUGCAUUCAGAAAGCAAUUUUAGGAUCUGGUGUAACAGCUUUCAUUCAAAAAAGAAAAGAAAAGAAAAGAAAGGGGGGGGGAGAAAGGCUUCUGUCUGCCAGCUACGCUUCCCUUUCAUCAAGCUUCCAGGCGGCAUUCCCCAAGCUGGGAGUCUAAGGAGCAGCCUGGAGUUCAGAAAGGGAGUGGGGCCUUUCUGAAACUGAAGUGAAGUGAGGACAGGGAAGGGAAACCGGUGUGCAGGUCUUGUGUUUAUGCCUUCCUGGAACCUUUUACAUUUAUUUUUUUCUUAGAUUUUUAUUUCAGGCCAAUGGAAUAAAGCAGAGUUAAUAUGCAGACCCUAACAUUUCUGAAGAUCAAGGGGAUUCUCCCCUAUGUGAUGGAUGGGUGACCUAAACUUAACAGGAGAGCUUGUGUGCAUGCAAGAGGCAAAGAGAACUUGAAGAAUAUAUCCCAAAAAGGAAGGGGAGGAGGAGGAAGAGAAAGUGGUUUUUCUGCCCCCCCCCCCAAGGGAGCCCAUGGCUGCAAACAAGAAAAAGGUAAUAACGUGACCAUGAAAAUAAAUUGCAAGCAUAUUUAAAACAAUUAAAAUCAUUGGAAAACAUGAAGGGUAUCUAAAAACUGCCACAUACCCUAAACAAGUAAUAAUUUCAAGGCUGACACCCAGCUCAAUGGGAAUGUUUCUUUUUAAAAACCCACCUGAAUGUUAAGAACAGCAGCAACAGGGAAACUGUGGUCUUCCAGGUGUUGGACUAGAGCUCCCUCCUCCCUGUCCGUUGGCCAUGCAGCUGGGCUGGCGGGAGCUGGGGGCCUCCAAAACCACCAGGGCCCUGGGAGCCCCGCCCUUGGCUAGAAUGCUGAACUAGGAUGGGGAAGUCGCAGGGGAUUCAAAUCCCCUGAAGCACUCAAGGGGACAGUUGGGCCAAGGAAUGCAUUCAUAUCUAUAUAAGUAAAGGUUUGGCCCACAUUUAUGCUCAGACACUGGCCUGUUUUGCACAUCAUGCUGAGCCUAAUUCUAAUAACAACUAUAACCAUUUAUUACUUGCACCCCACCCAUCUGCCUGGGCUGCCUCGGCCACUUGGGGGGCUAACCCUGGCUUAGCGGGAACCCAUGAGUUUGCGGGCUCCUGAGUUGCAGUUGCUUUGAUCCUCGAUCAUGUUGCUGCUGUGCUGGGUAAAAGGAUGGUUAGGCUUAGCGUAUUGUUUAGAGAGGAGGACUUAGCUCUCACAGACAAACCAUCAGAUGAAAACCAUGCAAGAAACCUUGAUUAUGGCUUGAGCUGAAUCAUGAGUUCAGACAACAUGCUAUAAGCCAAGGCUAUAAGCCAUGGCUUUGCUUGGCUCAGCAUCGAACAGCAGCAGAAUGGGAAGAAAGGAGGAAAGCAACCACAAAAUCUUUUCCCAGAGUUUGCAUGCUUGCGGGUUCACACUAAACCAUGGUUUGGCAUGAUGCAUGAAACAGGCCAUUAUCUAGUUUGGCCCCAGAGGGAGCAAUGGAUUAAUUGAGGGCAAUUUUGUUUUUAUUUGGUGCAUCAUUUCUAUGGAUUAACAAGGACAUUUUAUUCUAUUGAGCCAUUUUAAAAUAAAAUAAAAUGCUUCAUCCAUUGUAUUAAUUUUAAUGCAGUUGGUUUUGAUAAACUUGUGUGUCAUCUUCUUUUGUUGGUUUCUCCUUUGGAUAUCUUUUUUAAAAAGCUAUUAUUAGCAAACAAACAGAGAUUAAAAUUUAGCCACUACAGACUGAGAUGCGUGGAAUCAAGACAAAACACUGGGGGGAGGGGGAAAAUGUAACUCAAAUUAUUAUCCCUUCUAUGAAAUGAAAAAAAAGGAAAGGGGGGGACCCCAAACAAAGGCCCUCAACUUCCCUGUAGCAAUGUUUCCUCCUCUCUCUGGGACCAAUUUCUAUGUGAGGCAAAAAGUCCCGAGGAGGUUAGCAAACCUACAGUGUCAGCCAAGAUCUUUAUCUGUGCAGGAAAUAGGGAAAUAAGUUUACUGAUAAGAGGGAAAGACAAUAAAUAACUUAGAAAUUCUUUGCCAGUUCCCUUGAGGGCCUGUGGCAGCUGCCCAAGGUGUGCGUGCACACGGCAGAAAUAGAUCUGCUGCUUAAGCGUAUUUCAAAUGAGACCCUUCCCUUCCCUCUCCUUAGACAUAAACUUCAACAACCCCCCUCCCCAAAAACUGUGUGGGAUGGGAGACUUCAGAGAUGCCCGAUCUCAGUGAUCAUGGGCAGGAGGAGGAGGAGGAGACCAGACCAUGUCAUUACCAAGGAGGCAGGUUUAGUCAUUGUGUGAAGACUAUCUCAGCCUCCAGGUCUGGUCUUGACUGGAAGGAUACUGGAAUCAGCAAGGGAGACCCACAUGACCUUAAGGUACUGCUGUACAAUGCCAG